AAAGAAUUCCCUAAUGGGAAAUGUGGUAUUUGUGUUUCUGUCAGUUAUAUGCUUCCAUUUUAUAUAUUAUAAAAUAGAUUUGUUUUUAAAAAAAAUCAGUCAUUCUCUUUGCCUUAAUUUAAAAAAUUGUUUCUUUCAAAAAAUUCUUAGUUCUCUUUUAGCUGUACAAAAGAGAAACAAAAUAGAUAACAUCCAGUUUUUGAUUCAUUCUCCUGAAAUACCUUACAAGCUAGAAAUUUGGGGAGUGAACAAACUAUUACAGAAUUUAAAGAGUUUAAGAUUCACUGGAAAUAUAUAUGACAACUCUUCAAGGAGAAAGCUGGUGAAAAUCGUUGCUACUCUGAAUCUUAUAGAAGACACGUUUUCUGUGGCAUUUCUCCACUUAAAUGGUCAGGAAUUUAAGGAUGUCUAGGAUAUGAACUUAUGAACAUCUGUGCAGAGAUGGCUGAUACUUUGACUUCAGAGCAAAGAUAAGUUCGCCAAAGCCGGGCAUGUAAACUGUGAUUAAGACAUUGGGCUUUGAAUUCAGAGUGAUCUGGAUUUAUAUCCUGAUGCAACACUAAAUAUCUCUGCAAAUAUAAGGAGGUUUGUCACCAUUCCACCUCCACACCUUUCUAACGACAGAACCAUCAUGUAUGUUUGUUGGAUGUCCUAAAUAUUACAACCCCAAGAUGGCAAACCCCUACCUACAAUGAAACUUUGUAUUUGGGAAGAUAACUUUAAGAAGGAAAAGAUGCUGCUAUUUGGGGAAACAUUAAAACCAGAAUAAAAAUUGGAAGUAAAAAUGAACGUAACCUCAUAUUUCCUAAAUCAGAUGUAAGUGCUACCUUGUUGGCAUGUGCAUGACCUCUCAUUCUGUCUUCAGUGUUCAUCAUUUGUAGCUUUGCCUUUUAAAUCCUGAUUAUAGACAUUCUGCUCUUUGAGGGAUAGGAGUAUAAAUGUGAACAUUUGAAAAAUGUGGAUUUCCAAGCAAAGUAUACUGCACAUAAUAGAUCAAAAUUAUUUAUUAAGAUGAAUGAGCCAGGCAUGGUGGCAUGCACCUGUGGUCUCAGCUACUAAGGAGGCUGAGGUAAGAGGCUUGCUUGAACCUGGGAGAUUAAGGUUUCAGCGAGUUGUGAUCAGGGUUGGGCACCAGCCUGGUCAACAAAGACUCUGGCUCUAAAUAAAUAAACAAACAAACAAAUAAAUAAAAUAAAUAGUACUUGGUAAAGAGUAUUUACUCAUAUUCUUUAAAUCUCGACUCAUUUUUUACUCUCUACCAUAUUUAAUUAAAAUGAAAAAAUAAAACCUCAUCUUUUAGUCUCCUGUUUUCUUCAUAGAUAAUUUAUAAAUAUGUGUGUAUAAGAAUCAUUGUUUUGUGAUUCUGACUGCCAGUCUCCAUGUUAAAUUAAGCAAAAAGCUGUCCUGCUGUGCACAUGAGUUGCAGGUGCAUAAAUUCAGUGCUUAAAUAAAUGUAAGGGAAUUAGCGAUACCCAGUGGUUUAUUUGAGGUAUGUGCACUUUCCUAUCGGGUUUGAAAUACGAUGUAAUGGCACUCAAUUAAGAAUGUAGAUUUUGAAAAGCCAAAUUCAGAAAGAAUUUAUAUAACUCCUUGAGACAAAAUAAAUUUACAAGAGUCUAGUCUCAUGAGGAACAAAUACUCAUUUUCAUCCAUCUUUCCACAUUAUUUACUUUGAUAGUAUCAUCUUUUUCAUUAUGGAUGAUACCAAUCCUACUCCUU
rnacentral:lncRNA from 1 species